UACAGAGGGGGCAAGCGUUGUUCGGAAUUACUGGGCGUAAAGGGCGCGUAGGCGGCCUUCUAAGUCGAACGUGAAAUCCCCAGGCUCAACCUGGGAACUGCGUCCGAUACUGGCAGGCUUGAAUCCGGGAGAGGGAUGUGGAAUUCCAGGUGUAGCGGUGAAAUGCGUAGAUAUCUGGAGGAACACCGGUGGCGAAGGCGGCAUCCUGGACCGACAUUGACGCUGAGGCGCGAAAGCCAGGGGAGCAAACGGG
rnacentral:rRNA from 1 species